rnacentral:rRNA from 1 species
CGGGACGGGUGAGUAAUGUCUGGGAAACUGCCUGAUGAGGGGGAUAACUACUGGAAACGGUAGCUAAUACCGCAUAACGUCGCAAGACCAAAGAGGGGGACCUUAGGGCCUCUUGCCAUCGGAUGUGCCCAGAUGGGAUUAGCUAGUAGAUGGGGUAACGGCUCACCUAGGCGACGAUCCCUAGCUGGUCUGAGAGGAUGACCAGCCACACUGGAACUGAGACACGGUCCAG